GGAAGCGUCAUGUGUGAUUAAUUUAACUUCCUGCCUGAGGCUGAGUGAUUGCUGCUGGACACAGGCGCGGAGCUGCCAAAUAACUGAAUAUGGGCUACACCAAAGAGCCUAGUUCUCCUCUGUGUCCCAGAGCAUCCAUAGAAUGUACUAAUUGAGAUGUCUUCUUUCUGCAUCAAGCUGAGUCCCAAAUGUUCACCUACAGCUAGUACCGGUGUGGUGGUUAUUAUGUAUAAGUCAGGAAAUAGCAAGUUGUCAGUGCUAAGACAGAUUACAACCAGUGGCAUAACUUCCACUCCAACAGCCAUUGCACUGCCAUGGCGCACAGUGGUUAGGGAUGUCUGAUGCUGCUGCUCUGGCCACUACAUCCCUGCUUAUGACUUCUAUUCCUUCUGGGAGAAAUCUGAAUUGUACAGUAAAUAAAUGACUGAACAAUA